UACGUAGGGCGCAAGCGUUGUCCGGAAUUAUUGGGCGUAAAGAGCUCGUAGGCGGUCUGUUACGUCCGCUGUGAAAACCCAGGGCUUAACCCUGGGAUGCCGGUCGAUACUGCCGGACUAGAGUUCGGAAGAGGCGAGUGGAAUUCCCGGUGUAGCGGUGAAAUGCGCAGAUAUCGGGAGGAACACCUAUGGCGAAGGCAGCUCGCUGGGACGUUACUGACGCUGAGACGCGAAAGCGUGGGGAGCAAACAGG
rnacentral:rRNA from 1 species